GAUGAACGCUGGCGGCGUGCUUAACACAUGCAAGUCGAACGGAAAGGCCCUGCUUGCAGGGUACUCGAGUGGCGAACGGGUGAGUAACACGUGGGUGAUCUGCCCUGUACUUUGGGAUAAGCCUGGGAAACUGGGUCUAUUACCGAAUAUGACAAUUGUUUGGUUUCGAUUGUGGAGAGCUUUUUGGGUAUGGUAUUAGCUCGCGGCCUAUCCGCUUGUUGGUGGGGUAAUGGCCUAACAAGGCGUCGCCGGGUGGCCGGCCUGUGGGGGUGUACGGCCACAUUGGGACCGGGAUACGGGCCAGAGUCCAGCGGGAGGCAGCAGUGGGGAAUAUGGAACAAUGGACGAAAGGCUGAUGCAGGAACGAGGCGUGGGGGAUGACGGACGUCGGGUUGUAAACUCCUUUCGCAACCGACGAAGGCUGUUGGUGACGGUAGGUGGAGAAGAAGCACCGGCUAACUACGUG
rnacentral:rRNA from 1 species